GCUGAAUCUCAUUGGCUGGAACCUGAAUUGCUAGGGUGCUGGCCCACGUGGGAGGAAAUGCAGGAAAAAAAAAAUAACAGCACAGCUUCUAGAAAACAGUCACUUUCAAACGACGGAUUUCGUGGUUAAUUGAGUUUCCCACAAUGCCCAUCUGUGCCAACGUGCCCUUUCCCAUACCGUCAGAGUUUCAGCAAGAGGAGAGGUCAAGUUGGCAGAGGAGAGGCCGGGACUAUGGCGAAGUCUGGCACACUUCCUGGAGAGGGCAAAGUCUAACUGCUACCAUGAACAGUUGGCGUUGUUGUCAGGACUCACCACGAUUCACAGUCAAACUAGAGAGUCCGAAUCAGUGAAACAGGAGCCAGCACCAAAAACAAGGUUAUGGCGAUAGUGACUCCAGAUGGUAUCUACAGUGGGAAGAAAAAGUAUGUGGACCCUUUGGAAUUUCAUGGAUCUCUGCAUAAAUUGAUCACAACAUUUUAUCUGAUCUUCAUCUAAGUCACAACAAUAUACAAACAGAGUCUACUUAAACUAAUAAAACAAUAUGUUUUCAUGUCAUUAUUGAACACAGUGUAAACACUCACAGUGCAGGGUGGAAAAAGUAUGUGAAUCCUUGGAUUUAAUAACAGGUUGACCCU